GCGUCUGUAGCUCAGCUGGAUAGAGUGCCGGACUACGAAUCCGUAAGUCGGGGGUUCGAAUCCCUCCAGACGCG
rnacentral:tRNA from 1 species